GAUGAACGCUGGCGGCGCGCCUAACACAUGCAAGUCGAACGGUUAAGGCCCCCUUUAGGGGGCGCAUAGAGUGGCGAACGGGUGAGUAACACGUGACCAACCCGCCCCCCCCACCGGGACAACCUCGGGAAACCGAGGCUAAUACCGGAUACGCCGGGGCCCCCGCAUGGGGGCUCCGGGAAAGCCUUGGCGGGAGGGGACGGGGUCGCGGCCCAUCAGGUAGACGGCGGGGCGAAGGCCCGCCGUGCCGACGACGGGUAGCCGGGCUGAGAGGCCGAUCGGCCACAUUGGGACUGAGACACGGCCCAGACUCCUACGGGAGGCAGCAGUGGGGAAUAUUGCGCAAUGGGCGAAAGCCUGACGCAGCGACGCCGCGUGCGGGAAGGAGGCCUUCGGGUCGUAAACCGCUUUCAGCAGGGAAGAAGCCUGACGGUACCUGCAGAAGAAGCCCCGGCUAACUACGUGCCAGCAGCCGCGGUAAUACGUAGGGGG
rnacentral:rRNA from 1 species